UAUCUGCCUAAUAAGUCCAGUGGUUGAGCAGGUGAGCGCGAGCUUCUCUGUCUUCUGCUUCUUUUCUCCAGAAUUUGGCCUUUCAGCAAUCUCAGGGGUCGUUAAUUUCUCUUCUCACGGGGCUACAUAAUUUCUCUUCCUCAUCAUCACUGUUCGAGAGUUUGUACUUCAAAUUUUUACUUCGUUUUCCCAAUUUGCUCCACAUUUGAACCUGCACAAGCUGUUGGUUCGGAGAGGUUAAGAAGUGCUGCGAACUUGGGGUUGUUGAGUUGAAGUAAGGAGGGUUAGAAUAUUUUACAUCCAUGAGAAGAUCAGGUGUAAACCAACCAAAAGUCAAGCGUCUUGUUG
rnacentral:misc_RNA from 1 species